rfam:Eubacteriaceae bacterium CHKCI004 isolate CHKC4 genome assembly, contig: {contig31}
GGAAGCCGUAUACAUCGAGAGGUGUACGUACGGUUUCGGGGCGAGGCUAUGGAAACCUAUCAUGGAGACAUGAAAAGGCGCUGUAGUCUUAGCCUAC